ACGAAGAAAACCUUUUCAAAGUGGUUGAAAGACGAUAGGGGUGGGCCCGGGGGCGCCAAUGACAUGUUCGCAUACACCUCAGAAAGUAUGUAGUUGCGCCCCUGCUUGAGGAUGAAUCGCCAGUCGUCAGCAUCAGUCUCUCACCCUCCCUCACUCCUCCGUAGCUUCUACCAAGAUUCAAGGUCCAAACAUGGCUGUAGACCGACACUGGCUAUCUUACUUGGAGACUCAAGCUUGUCCAACGCAUGAGGAGCAUGUUGAUGUCCCCGGACAAACUUCACGGACAGUGAGUGGACAGCUCUUUGGGGGAGUGCAGACAGGCCCUGUCUCUUAUUAGUCAUUCAGCAGAAACAUAAACUUUGUAAAAAAUGAUGGCACUGAAUACUAGGUUGGCCUAUUCUGUACUGUAAUAUCCAGGAAUCUACCUGUGUUAAACAAAAAUUUACUACAUUUUAUUACAUGAACUGCAUGCAAUACUUUCGCCGCCUUGUACUUUGAACAAUUCAAUACAUGUUGUAUUGAAGAAAAAUGUGUUAAGCAUACUGUUGUUUGUAUUGCGCAGCUUAUGUAUGUCCAAUCUUUUGAUUAGCUAUCUUUGAAUGAAAGUGACAUGUGAAACAUGAAAGUGUAAGUUUUUCCACGUUGAAAAAAUGUUUUCUUAUAUGGCGCAUG